rnacentral:sRNA from 1 species
GAUGUCAUGCAGGCAAGAUGGCGGAAGGGGAGGACGUGGGAUGGUGGCGGAGCUGGCUGCAGCAGAGCUACCAAGCAGUCAAAGAGAAGUCCUCUGAAGCCUUGGAGUUUAUGAAGCGGGACCUGACGGAGUUUACCCAGGUGGUGCAGCAUGACACGGCUUGUACCAUCGCAGCCACGGCCAGCGUGGUCAAGGAGAAGCUGGCUGUGAGUACCACCCAAACCCUCCCAAGUAACUGCCCCUCGCAACCUGUCCUGUCCUGGGCUCCCAACCUUUCUACCAUUAAGUGAUUAUUUUUCCAUAUGGGGAAAAAUAUGUGGAUUACUUUUCCUCCCAUUUUGAAAGAAUUGUGUCUGGCAACCAAACAAGCUGCAUAUUUUAAGUAAUAAUUAGUUUUCCCACUUCUGUAUUGUUUUAGCAAAUGUUUUCCAUUAGCAAAGUCAUUCAUGUUGACAAUUCAGAAAACACAGACAAGUGAAAGAAAAGAGAAAGAAUGAGAAAAGGAAGAGAGAGAGAGAGACCUAGAGACAUCCAUAAUUCCAUCUUCCAAAGAUAGCUACUG